CGGUCGGUAGCACAGUGGUUCCUGCACCGGUUUCUUACACCGAGGUACGUGGGUUCGAUUCCCACCCGGCCGA
rnacentral:tRNA from 1 species